UCAACUUCAAAGUCCUUGCCUUUUGUGUGACAUCUACCAUGAAAUCAUAUUGGAGUCUGCUAAAUUUGUAGAAUUUGACUGUUGGGUCUAUUAGACUAUUUCUUACUAAAAAUUUUAUCACCUUUGAUUGAUGCUUGGACCAUUUUAAAACCAUUUGAAUCAGUAUGCAAGUGAACACUUCUGCCCCCUAUCCCCCUACAGUGGAGUAGUAGUAGCAUUGCUAGCUUUUCUCUACAACAGCUUGCCAUUCUUAGGACUUGAUUCAUUUAUCUUUAAUUUUCUUAACGAGUGGUUACAUGCAGCAAACGGAAGUCACGUAGGAGUGGAUCUCAUUCAUGCUUUCACUUCUGAGGAAAGAGUUGCGAGAAGGAAACCUGCUGUCCCUCUUGGGGGUUCUUCUUGUACAGUACCCUCAUCCAUUCCGCACCUGAUCCGUUGUUGUCCUCGUUUAUUUUGCCUAUGUUAAUGAUUGUAUUAAUGAUCAGCCUCAGUUUUAUAGCGAACCAAGCACAGCUAAGACAAGUUCAGACGUGAAUAAGACAGAGAGGUAAAAUGUGCAGUCAACUCCUCUUUCAGUCAAGGAUCAGGAAGAGAAGGCAAAAAGAUGUGAAUUUGUUCAAGGCCUGCUGUUAUCCACGUUUCUCGAUGAUGUUUUAU